rnacentral:rRNA from 1 species
UGUGUAGGCGGUUGUUUAAGUUUGGUGUGAAAUCUCCCGGCUCAACUGGGAGGGUGCGCCGAAUACUGAAUGACUAGAGUACGGGAGAGGAAAGUGGAAUUCCUGGUGUAGCGGUGAAAUGCGUAGAUAUCAGGAGGAACACCGGUGGUGUAGACGGCUUUCUGGACCGUAACUGACGCUGAGACACGAAAGCGUGGGUAGCAAACA